AUCCAGCUAACGAGUCCCGAAUAGAACAAAACGCGAGUCCUGGAU
rnacentral:hammerhead_ribozyme from 1 species